CACGUAGGGCGCAAGCGUUGUCCGGAAUUAUUGGGCGUAAAGAGCUCGUAGGCGGUCUGUUGCGUCCGCUGUGAAAACCCGGGGCUUAACCCCUGGCUUGCAGUGGAUACGGACAGACUAGAGGUAGGUAGGGGAGAAUGGAAUUCCCGGUGUAGCGGUGAAAUGCGCAGAUAUCAGGAGGAACACCAAUUGCGAAGGCAGCUCGCUGGGACGUUACUGACGCUGAGACGCGAAAGCGUGGGGAGCAAACAGG
rnacentral:rRNA from 1 species